AGAUUAGAUCAGAUAUUUUCACAAUAUAUGCGUUGUAUGAUAUUUUUAUAAAUAUUAUAAGUAAAGCAUAAAAAAUAUGUUUAUAUAAUAAUAAUAUUUACAUUAAAAUAACACUAUUUUCCUGAUUCAUCAGUACAAUGGGUACUUUCAAACUUUUUUUUCACGUUUUCUACUUGAGGCAUGUAAGAGAACAAAACUUAUGUGGUGUUUUAAUUGUUGUACUCUUACAUAAAGGUACAAAACAUGGCUUAUAUGUGCUCUUUUUGCUCAUUUUUCAGAUAAAUGAAUAUUUUACUACAUAAAAAUAGUUCGGGUCUUGUAGUAUGCCGUCACAGAGUGUUCGAGAGGUCAUUGACUCGAUCAUUUCUAGACCGUAUUCGGAACCGAAAGAAUAAUCGGAUACGACUGUACGACCUCCAACCUCAAUGUCACAACAAUUUCUGAUGGAUAUUGAAGAUUGUGAAAUACCCGUAGUUAAACCACAUGUACAAGAAACAAAAAUUCAAUUGUUACAAUUGUCAAAAUUCGAAACAACAUAAUCCAAUGUAAAAUUGUAAUUUCGAGAACCAUUUAUUACUGCGGAAUGAAUUCACAUGUCUCAACCGUAUCAAAUGCGCAAGCGGAGUAUAUUUUAGAAACAACUUUAGAUCAAUGUAAGAGGAUGCACAACACCGGCACACUUAUCAUAAAUGUAAACAAUAAAAUCAAUGGAUUAAAGGUAAAAAAAACAACAUCCCGAUUAAUAACUUUUGCGGGAUCCGUAACAAUAAAUGAACAAUGUUUCGGAACACAGUAUUCAAAUCCUUAUGAUAUAUCGUAAAACGUAAUUGUACAAAGAAUAAUAACAGUCGAAAUUCCUAUCAAGCAUCAGUAAAUAUUGAGACAAAUAAAAUUUAUUUAAAAUCAGGAACAAUAUGUCAAUAUUCAGAUGGAAAAUGUAUGAAUA